UGAGGGAGGAGGUUGGGUA
rnacentral:miRNA from 3 species